GACGAACGCUGGCGGCGUGCCUAAUACAUGCAAGUAGAACGCUGAAGAGAGGAGCUUGCCCUUCUUGGAUGAGUUGCGAACGGGUGAGUAACGCGUAGGUAACCUGCCUUGUAGCGGGGGAUAACUAUUGGAAACGAUAGCUAAUACCGCAUAACAAUGGAUGACACAUGUCAUUUAUUUGAAAGGGGCAAUUGCUCCACUACAAGAUGGACCUGCGUUGUAUUAGCUAGUAGGUGAGGUAAUGGCUCACCUAGGCGACGAUACAUAGCCGACCUGAGAGGGUGAUCGGCCACACUGGGACUGAGACACGGCCCAGACUCCUACGGGAGGCAGCAGUAGGGAAUCUUCGGCAAUGGGGGCAACCCUGACCGAGCAACGCCGCGUGAGUGAAGAAGGUUUUCGGAUCGUAAAGCUCUGUUGUAAGUCAAGAACGGGUGUGAGAGUGGAAAGUUCACACUGUGACGGUAGCUUACCAGAAAGAGACGGCUAACUACGUG
rnacentral:rRNA from 1 species